UGGAGAGUUUGAUCCUGGCUCAGAUUGAACGCUGGCGGCAGGCCUAACACAUGCAAGUCGAGCGGAUGACGGGAGCUUGCUCCUUGAUUCAGCGGCGGACGGGUGAGUAAUGCCUAGGAAUCUGCCUGGUAGUGGGGGACAACGUUUCGAAAGGAACGCUAAUACCGCAUACGUCCUACGGGAGAAAGCAGGGGACCUUCGGGCCUUGCGCUAUCAGAUGAGCCUAGGUCGGAUUAGCUAGUUGGUGGGGUAAUGGCUCACCAAGGCGACGAUCCGUAACUGGUCUGAGAGGAUGAUCAGUCACACUGGAACUGAGACACGGUCCAGACUCCUACGGGAGGCAGCAGUGGGGAAUAUUGGACAAUGGGCGAAAGCCUGAUCCAGCCAUGCCGCGUGUGUGAAGAAGGUCUUCGGAUUGUAAAGCACUUUAAGUUGGGAGGAAGGGCAGUAAGUUAAUACCUUGCUGUUUUGACGUUACCGACAGAAUAAGCACCGGCUAACUCUGUGCCAGCAGCCGCGGUA
rnacentral:rRNA from 2 species